CGGGAUGUAGCGCAGCUUGGUUAGCGCACAAGUCUGGGGGACUUGGGGUCGCUGGUUCGAAUCCAGUCAUCCCGA
rnacentral:tRNA from 1 species